rnacentral:rRNA from 1 species
GAAUAUUGGACAAUGGGCGAAAGCCUGAUCCAGCAACGCCGCGUGAGGGAUGACGGCCUUCGGGUUGUAAACCUCUUUCAGCAGGGACGAAGCGAAAGUGACGGUACCUGCAGAAGAAGGACCGGCCAACUACGUGCCAGCAGCCGCGGUAAUACGUAGGGUCCGAGCGUUGUCCGGAAUUAUUGGGCGUAAAGGGCUCGUAGGCGGUUUGUCGCGUCGGGAGUGAAAACUCAGGGCUCAACCCUGAGCGUGCUUUCGAUACGGGCAGACUAGAGGUAUGCAGGGGAGAACGGAAUUCCUGGUGUAGCGGUGGAAUGCGCAGAUAUCAGGAGGAACACCGGUGGCGAAGGCGGUUCUCUGGGCAUUACCUGACGCUGAGGAGCGAAAGCAUGGGGAGCGAACAG